CCUACGGGGGGCUGCAGUGGGGAAUAUUGGACAAUGGGGGAAACCCUGAUCCAGCAAUGCCGCGUGUGUGAAGAAGGCCUGCGGGUUGUAAAGCACUUUCGGUUGGGAAGAAAAGUUUGGCGCCAAUACCGCCGAACCUUGACGUUACUGACAGAAGAAGCACCGGCUAACUCUGUGCCAGCAGCCGCGGUAAUACAGAGGGUAAAAACGGUGAUCGGAAUGAGUGGAGGUAAAGCGUGCGUACGUGGGCGAAAUCCCCGGGCUUAACCUGGGAACUGCAUUCGAUACUACAUGGCUAGAGUAUGGUAGAGGGAAGUGGAAUGUCCGGUGUAGCGGUGAAAUGCGUAGAUAUCGGAAGGAACACCAAUGGCGAAGGCAGCUUCCUGGACUAAUACUGACACUGAGGCACGAAAGCGUGGGUAGCAAACAGGAUUAGAUACCCUAGUAGUC
rnacentral:rRNA from 1 species